AUUGAACGCUGGCGGCAGGCCUAACACAUGCAAGUCGAACGAGUGGCGGACGGGAGAGAAAUGCUUGGGAAUUUGGUAUAAGGAGGGGGAAAAAGAGGGGAAACGGUCGCUAAUACCGCGAAGCAUCAGAUGUGCCCAGAUGGGAUUAGCUAGUAGGUGGGGUAACGGCUCACCUAGGAGACGAUCCCCAGCUGGUCUGAGAGGAUGACAAGCCACAUUGGAACUGAGCCACGGUCCAGACUCCUACGGGAGGCAGCAGUGGGGAAUAUUGCGCAAUGGGCGCAAGCCUGAUGCAGCCAUGCCGCGUGUGUGAAGAAGGCCUUCGGUUUGUAAAGCCCUUUCAGCAGGGAGGCGUUACCCACAGAAGAAGCACCGGCUAACUCCGUGCCAGCAGCCGCGGUAAUUC
rnacentral:rRNA from 1 species